rnacentral:ncRNA from 2 species
UUUAUACGGAUGCUGCUAGGUGCCCUUGCGAGAGCGAGGGGUAACAGGGAAUCGGGUGAAAAUCCCGAGCGGUCCCGCCACUGUAAAGGUGAGUUCUCUUUCGAUGAUGCCACUCGGUUUGCCGGGGAAGGCGAAAGAGCACGAUGAACCGAAGCCAGGAGACCUACCUAGUUUGUCACACCCAA